rfam:Gossypium raimondii Chr10_contig_619, whole genome shotgun sequence.
AUGCCAUGAUGAGGGCACUUUCAUAUUAACUCAUUAAACUGCUCUCAUGCCUCAUAUAAAGAUUCUUCAUCAAGUUUCUAAAAGGAAGUGGUUUCAUUUUGGAUCCU